rnacentral:rRNA from 1 species
AUACGGAGGGUGCAAGCGUUAAUCGGAAUUACUGGGCGUAAAGCGUACGUAGGCGGCAAGUUAAGUUAGAUGUGAAAGCCCCGGGCUCAACCUGGGAACUGCAUUUAAAACUGGCUUGCUAGAGUUGAGUAGAGGGGAGUGGAAUUUCAGGUGUAGCGGUGAAAUGCGUAGAGAUCUGAAGGAACACCAGUGGCGAAGGCGACUCCCUGGACUCGAACUGACGCUGAGGUACGAAAGCGUGGGUAGCAAACGGAAUUAGAAACCCUAGUAGUCC